ACUUAAAUCAAUUGGGCUUCAAUCGCAUUUCUCUGUUGGGCUUCGUAAAACAUAGCCCAGUUAAUGUUAUGGACUUAAAUUAAUGUUAUCUUACAAUAGACGCCAUUUAGAAACUAUAUCGUCUUUUUCCUUUGUCUUCAUCUUCUCCUUUCCUCUUCAUACAUUCACCGUUACUAAGCCUAUUUGCCAUCAAUCAAUGGAGUUCUUCAAUAUCGUCUUAAUGAAUACGUUUCACCUCCUUCUUUUUAUCCUUCUUUAUAUACUCUUUCCCCUUUCAUGUCUACAAACCAAAACCCUAGAUUAUUUUAAGCUAAACCAAAACCAAACGGCAAGUCCCGUCUCCUCCGUCCUGUCUCCACAUGAUGUGUGUGAACCUUCCAAAAGCUCUGAAGAUUCUGCAGAUGAGGGAAUCAAAAAGACGUGACAGUGUUGAGGGAGAGAAAGCCAUACGCUCUAAACGUGGGAAAAGAUGUUCUGUCUCCAACGAUGAUGUAUGUAUGUGGUCAUCUCGGAGACGGGGAUUCCGGUGGGUAGAUAGCAGAAACAGCUAUGAGAUUGGAAUAAAAAAAUUACGUGCUUUAAACGGCGGGAAAGUCACGCCGGCAACAGAGCUACAGAGACAUUGAGUUUGAUCUUAUCCAAAGUCUCAUUUUUUUCCUUUCAGGGAAUUUGAUUUAUUUUAUUUUCAUUUAAUUUUCCAGGUUAUAUUGGUAUUGUUUUAGUUGGUUUUAAGCUCUGUUUUAUGUUAUAAUUUUCUGUAUUCUGAAAACCGUUGAAAAAGAAGAAGCAUUACUUUUUACCUACUAAAGCUUCAAGAACAGAGAAUCAAGAUGCUAUAUGGUUGGAAUACUUGCUGACCCUAAAGAGGCAAGAGUUGGUAUUAGAGAGACUCCUUACUUCCGAUUCAAUCCAGUCCACUUAUAUCGAUAGUAAAUUUUGGAUGUUAGGACGAAGCUUUGCAUAAGGGACAGCUUAUACCGAUUGGCAAAAAGCGCAGAGCAGAGACAUCAUUGUAUGGAUGCAAAUGGUGGAAACAGACAGGUGAAAGGUGCUGGCUCGCAUCUCGAGACUGGUGAAACAGACAAGUACGUGGGAUUCUUGGAUAUAGAAACUGAUACAAACCCGAUAGACCGAUCCAUAGCUCAUUUGCUGUUUCAAAGACCCUCAGACUCAUCUCUUUCAUCAGAUCACGAUGUUCUCUCUUAUAAAUCCCAUCCAAUGAUUCCUCAGCCCAACAGUAGUCCGAGCCUGAGGAUAGAGAACCAAGAGGAAACCCAAGAACUUAGAACCGAAGCUGUAGCAUGUGACAACAAGUAGUGAUGUCAACUGGAAACCGACUCUUUCAGUCCUGAACCAAACUGGACUAGACAGAGGCUCGGUAUGGAAUCAAACAUGCCAUCAGCAUCAGCUUCUCUACUUGGAAAUCACAAAGACGAAAGCCUAGCUGCUGUUUCGUUGAACAGUUGAUUGAGAAAGUUGAUGGAUUUGCUGCUGUCUUCCCAGCGCAGUUAUAACCACUCGAAUUAUACAAUCAGUGGGAUGUGAGAAGCCCUCUAAAGGAGACGGUGUCGUUUUGGCUAAGAUCGAUCCCACGGAGGAGAACGAGCUCGCUCAUCAGUAUAGUGUUCAGGGCUUCCUCACCAUACUGUUCUUCGUAGAUGGCGAGCACAAGCCUUACAAUGGAGGCAGGACCAAAGAAACGAUAGUGACGUGGGUGAAGAAGAAGAUAGGUCCUGGUGUGUAUAAUCUAACCACACUAGAUGAUGCUGAGAAAGUGUUGACUUCUGGGAACAAAGUCAUCUUGGGAUACUUGAACUCUUUGGUGGGUGUUGAGCGAUUUUCCUGGUGUCAAAUAUCUCUCCUGCAACUGCUUGGAUGGAGAGAUGUCAAGUGGUAAUGACCAGAGCAACGAAAGUGUGUAAAUCCCUCGAACACGGCGAGCCCAUCCUGUGGAGCAGUUUCAGUUGCAGAGCACAUUUGUGAGCAGGCUAUCAUGAUGAAGACCCGGUUCAGGUUGCAGGAAACAUCCUAAAGAAGGCUCGCACCCAGUAAUUGUUAAGGCUAUCGAACUUGAAACCUCACUAUUUCUCUUUUGCUUCAUUGCAGUAUUGUUUAUAAAAAAAAAAUUUCAGUUUGUUUUGUUUCAUUGACCAUGUUUGCAACUUUUACCACAAUUAAAACUUAUUAGUACUUAUUACAUUCACGUGUUUACAGAUGUCU